AAAAACAUAGCUUCUAGCCCAACAACUAUUAGAAGUAGCGCCUGCCCUGUGGACCCCCUAAACGGCCGCGGCACCAAAACCGUGCAAAGGUAGCACAAUCAUUUGUCCUUUAAAUGGGGACUCGUAUGAAAGGCAGCACGAGAGAAAACCUGUCUCCUAAGACCAGCCAAUGAAAUUGAACUACCAGUACAAAAGCUGGUAUAUUAAAGCAAGACAAAAAGACCCCGUGGAACUUAAUAACCCGUUUACGCAAACUAAACGAUAACUUUAGUUGGGACAACUUUAGAAAAAUUAAACCUCUAACACCGCCAAGGCCAACAAGCCUAAGAUAUUAAAACUGACCCAGUCACACUGAUUAAUGAAAUAAGCUACCCCGGGGAUAACAGCGCCACCUUCUCAAAAGUCCAUAUUAACAAGAAGACCUACGACCUCGAUGUUGGAUCGGGGUACCCCGACGGCGCAGCAGCUGUCAAAGGUUCGUUUGUUCAACGACUAACRCCCCACGUGAUCUG
rnacentral:rRNA from 1 species